UACGAAGGGGGCUAGCGUUGCUCGGAAUCACUGGGCGUAAAGCGCACGUAGGCGGCUUUCUAAGUCAGGGGUGAAAUCCUGGAGCUCAACUCCAGAACUGCCUUUGAUACUGGAGAGCUUGAGUCCGGGAGAGGUGAGUGGAACUCCGAGUGUAGAGGUGAAAUUCGUAGAUAUUCGGAAGAACACCAGUGGCGAAGGCGGCUCACUGGCCCGGUACUGACGCUGGGGUGCGAAAGCGUGGGGAGCAAACAGG
rnacentral:rRNA from 1 species